GACGAACGCUGGCGGCGUGCCUCAUACAUGCAAGUGGAGCGACGAACCAGGCUUCGGCCUGGGGCAAAGCCGCGAACGGGUGAGUAACACGUGGGUAACCUACCCCGAUGAUUGGGACAACUCGAGGAAACUCGGGCUAAUACCAAAUGUGCUCCUGGCCGUGAUGGCCAGGCGGAAAGGAAGCUUCGGCCUCCGCAUCGGGAUGGGCCCGCGGCCCAUUAGCUAGUUGGUGGGGUAAUGGCCUACCAAGGCGACGAUGGGUAGCUGGUCUGAGAGGACGAUCAGCCACACUGGGACUGAGACACGGCCCAGACUCCUACGGGAGGCAGCAGUAGGGAAUCUUGCGCAAUGCGCGAAAGCGUGACGCAGCAACGCCGCGUGGGGGAAGAAUGCCUUCGGGUUGUAAACCCCUUUCAGUUGGGACGAAGCUCCGUCGGUGAAUAGCCGGCUGGAGUGACGGUACCUUCACAAGAAGCACCGGCUAACUACGUGCCAGCAGCCGCCGUAACAC
rnacentral:rRNA from 1 species